ACAGACCCAAGAAUGCUGAUACAUUGCUGGGACAAAAUACUGGAGCAACAACUUGAAGAAGGAAAGGACGUGAAAUCUGGACUCUCGUUCUUGAACAGGACAGAAGUGCAUGCUGGAAGUGCAAGGGAGGACACUCCAUAGGGAAAGCUGAGCGAAGAAAACAGGAAUGCUAAGAAGAUCCACAGUUGAACAGCAUCCACUGCUGCAGUCAGCAGCAUGAUGUACAGAGGGUUUUUCCUUCCUUCCCAGUCCUUCAUGAGACUCUCUCUCUCUCUCUCUCUCUCUCUCUCUCUCUCUCUCUCUGUGUGUGUGUGUGUGUGUGUGUGUGUGCGUGCGUGUUUGUCUAUGUGUUUCCUCUGCCAACCCUGGGGCAGGAUGGCCAAUGGAGGUAGCCUCAGGUAGAAAUGUGAGUUUCAGAAAAAUCAAAAGCCUAGGUCAUUCUCCAAGCACCUGCUAAAUUUUAGCAUUUACCCAGCCAUUUAGCAUCUCACCCUGUUGCAACCAAGGUGAUCUGAGGGCUAUCAAAAAUGCUCCCACAGUGAAAGGGACCCAACACUGAUAUUUCCUGAGGCUUUGACAACUUUAAAUGCCCAGCAGAGUUGCACCUGAGGUCCCUGCCUAGGGCAGAGGGGAUGGGUUCUGUAUGAGCAGGGAGGAAGUGAAGUUUCUUUUUGAAGGGUUGAACAGAUGGAGACAACCACGUGUGCAUAUGUCCUGCCUCUUGCCCCCAACCCUGGUUCUGUCCUGCUCUGCCCUAGAGCCUCACACUGCCCACAAGAAUUAAAGGCUUUCUGCCUCCGGGUUUUCUAGC